GUGCCAGCCGCCGCGGUAAUACAUAGGGGUCAAGCGUUGUCCGGAUUUAUUGGGCGUAAAGAGCUCGUAGGCGGCUCAACAAGUCGGUCGUAAAAGUUUAGGGCUCAACCCUAAAAUGUCGAUCGAUACUGUUGUGACUAGGAUACGGUAGAGGUGAAUGGAAUUCCGAGUGUAGCGGUGAAAUGCGUAGAUAUUCGGAGGAACACCAGUGGCGAAGGCGGAUCACUGGCUCGAUACUGAAGCUGAGUUGCGAAAGUGUGGGGAGAAAACAGGAUUAGAUA
rnacentral:rRNA from 1 species